rnacentral:rRNA from 1 species
UGUGUAGCGGUGAAAUGCGUAGAUAUAUGGAGGAACACCAGUGGCGAAGGCGACUUUCUAGCUCGAUACUGACGCUCAGUCACGAAAGCGUGGGUAGCAAAUAGGAUUAGAUACCCUAGUAGUCCACGCUGUAAACGAUGAGAACUAAGUAUUGCCGUGAGGCAGUGCUGAAGCUAACGCAUUAAGUUCUCCGCCUGGGGAGUACGGUCGCAAGACUGAAACUUAAAGGAAUUGACGGGGCCCCGCACAAGCAGUGGAGCAUGUGGUUUAAUUCGACGCAACGCGCAGAACCUUACCAGGACUUGACAUGGAAUUAAAGACCCUAGAAAUAGGGGGAUAGUCAUAGUUCACACAGGUGGUGCAUGGUUGUCGUCAGCUCGUGUCGUGAGAUGUUAGGUUAAGUCCUGCAACGAGCGCAACCCUCGUCCUUAGUUACCAUCAUUAAGUUGGGGACUCUAAGGAGACUGCCGAUGUAAAUCGGAGGAAGGUGGGGAUGACGUCAAAUCAUCAUGCCCUUUACGUCCUGGGCGACACACGUGCUACAAUGGCCGGUACAGAGAGAAGCAAGACCGCGAGGUGGAGCUAAUCCCAUAAAGCCGGUCUCAGUUCGGAUUGAAGUCUGCAACUCGACUUCAUGAAGUCGGAAUUGCUAGUAAUCGCAGAUCAGCCAUGCUGCGGUGAAUACGUUCCCGGGGCUUGUACACACCGCCCGUCAAACCAUGAGAGCUGGUAAUACUCGAAGUCGUUAUCCUAACCGCAAGGAGGGAGACGCCUAAGGUAGGACUAGUGAUUGGGGUUAAGUCGUAACAAGGUAUCCCUACGGGAACGUGGGGAUG